rnacentral:piRNA from 1 species
UAUUAUAAUUAAAGCAAGCUGUGAGAG